rnacentral:rRNA from 2 species
CUUUGACCUCGGAUCAGGUAGGGAUACCCGCUGAACUUAAGCAUAUCA